rnacentral:lncRNA from 1 species
AGGGGAUCAUCUUGUCCUCUCCUUGCACUGCCACACCACUCUGUCGCCCAAUUUUACAUUCUGAAAGGAGACAAUAGAGACUAGACUAAACCUCCAAGGGACAAUAACCCCAGGGGCAGCACGUACUCGGAAUAAUAGGUGCAGUCAGCUGCCUCACUCUCAGGUCUGUGGAGGAACCCAGAGGAAUUUUUAAAGUCCUCAGUUAACAGGUCAGUAAUAAAUCCUUUUCCUCAGGCCCCCCUCCGUUC